GGCUUUGCGCGGCAGCAGUAUCGUAGCCGAUGAGGUUUGUCCAAGGCGCGAUUAUUGCUAAUUGAAAACUUUUUCCAAUACCCCACCGUGCAAUAUAGUCAGCAUUAGCAAUUUUCCAUAGCCUCUUCGGAGA
rnacentral:snRNA from 1 species